rnacentral:rRNA from 1 species
AGACCCGAAACCCGGUGAUCUAGCCAUGGGCAGGUUGAAGGUUGGGUAACACUAACUGGAGGACCGAACCGACUAAUGUUGAAAAAUUAGCGGAUGACCUGUGGCUGGGGGUGAAAGGCCAAUCAAACCGGGAGAUAGCUGGUUCUCCCCGAAAGCUAUUUAGGUAGCGCCUCGUGAAUUCAUCUCCGGGGGUAGAGCACUGUUUCGGCUAGGGGGCCAUCCCGGCUUACCAACCCGAUGCAAACUGCGAAUACCGGAGAAUGUUAUCACGGGAGACACACGGCGGGUGCUAACGUCCGUCGUGAAGAGGGAAACAACCCAGACCGCCAGCUAAGGUCCCAAAGUCAUGGUUAAGUGGGAAACGAUGUGGGAAGGCCCAGACAGCCAGGAUGUUGGCUUAGAAGCAGCCAUCAUUUAAAGAAAGCGUAAUAGCUCACUGGUCGAGUCGGCCUGCGCGGAAGAUGUAACGGGGCUAAACCAUGCACCGAAGCUGCGGCAGCGACACUGUGUGUUGUUGGGUAGGGGAGCGUUCUGUAAGCCUGUGAAGGUGUGUCGUGAGGCAUGCUGGAGGUAUCAGAAGUGCGAAUGCUGACAUAAGUAACGAUAAAGCGGGUGAAAAGCCCGCUCGCCGGAAGACCAAGGGUUCCUGUCCAACGUUAAUCGGGGCAGGGUGAGUCGACCCCUAAGGCGAGGCCGAAAGGCGUAGUCGAUGGGAAACGGGUUAAUAUUCCCGUACUUGGUGUUACUGCGAAGGGGGGACGGAGAAGGCUAUGUUGGCCGGGCGACGGUUGUCCCGGUUUAAGCGUGUAGGUGUGUGUUCCAGGUAAAUCCGGUUCACUUUAACACUGAGGCGUGACGACGAGGCACUACGGUGCUGAAGCAACAAAUGCCCUGCUUCCAGGAAAAGCCUCUAAGCAUCAGGUAACAUCAAAUCGUACCCCAAACCGACACAGGUGGUCAGGUAGAGAAUACCAAGGCGCUUGAGAGAACUCGGGUGAAGGAACUAGGCAAAAUGGUGCCGUAACUUCGGGAGAAGGCACGCUGACACGUAGGUGAAGUGAUUUACUCAUGGAGCUGAAGUCAGUCGAAGAUACCAGCUGGCUGCAACUGUUUAUUAAAAACACAGCACUGUGCAAACACGAAAGUGGACGUAUACGGUGUGACGCCUGCCCGGUGCCGGAAGGUUAAUUGAUGGGGUCAGCGCAAGCGAAGCUCCUGAUCGAAGCCCCGGUAAACGGCGGCCGUAACUAUAACGGUCCUAAGGUAGCGAAAUUCCUUGUCGGGUAAGUUCCGACCUGCACGAAUGGCGUAAUGAUGGCCAGGCUGUCUCCACCCGAGACUCAGUGAAAUUGAACUCGCUGUGAAGAUGCAGUGUACCCGCGGCAAGACGGAAAGACCCCGUGAACCUUUACUAUAGCUUGACACUGAACAUUGAGCCUUGAUGUGUAGGAUAGGUGGGAGGCUUUGAAGUGUGGACGCCAGUCUGCAUGGAGCCGACCUUGAAAUACCACCCUUUAAUGUUUGAUGUUCUAACGUGGACCCGUUACCCGGGUUGCGGACAGUGUCUGGUGGGUAGUUUGACUGGGGCGGUCUCCUCCUAAAGAGUAACGGAGGAGCACGAAGGUUGGCUAAUCCUGGUCGGACAUCAGGAGGUUAGUGCAAUGGCAUAAGCCAGCUUGACUGCGAGCGUGACGGCGCGAGCAGGUGCGAAAGCAGGUCAUAGUGAUCCGGUGGUUCUGAAUGGAAGGGCCAUCGCUCAACGGAUAAAAGGUACUCCGGGGAUAACAGGCUGAUACCGCCCAAGAGUUCAUAUCGACGGCGGUGUUUGGCACCUCGAUGUCGGCUCAUCACAUCCUGGGGCUGAAGUAGGUCCCAAGGGUAUGGCUGUUCGCCAUUUAAAGUGGUACGCGAGCUGGGUUUAGAACGUCGUGAGACAGUUCGGUCCCUAUC